rnacentral:rRNA from 1 species
ACACGAGCGGCGAACGGGUGAGUAACACGUGGGUGAUCUGCCCUGCACUUCGGGAUAAGCCUGGGAAACUGGGUCUAAUACCGGAUAUGACCUUCGGCUGCAUGGCUGAGGGUGGAAAGGUUUACUGGUGCAGGAUGGGCCCGCGGCCUAUCAGCUUGUUGGUGGGGUAAUGGCCUACCAAGGCGACGACGGGUAGCCGACCUGAGAGGGUGACCGGCCACACUGGGACUGAGACACGGCCCAGACUCCUACGGGAGGCAGCAGUGGGGAAUAUUGCACAAUGGGCGAAAGCCUGAUGCAGCGACGCCGCGUGAGGGAUGACGGCCUUCGGGUUGUAAACCUCUUUCAGCAGGGACGAAGCGAAAGUGACGGUACCUGCAGAAGAAGCACCGGCCAACUACGUGCCAGCAGCCGCGGUAAUACGUAGGGUGCAAGCGUUGUCCGGAAUUACUGGGCGUAAAGAGCUCGUAGGCGGUUUGUCGCGUCGUCUGUGAAAACUCGAGGCUCAACCUCGAGCUUGCAGGCGAUACGGGCAGACUUGAGUACUG